GUGCGAGAGGUCACGGGU
rnacentral:misc_RNA from 1 species